UCAACCGAGAUUCCGCAAGUAGUGGCGAGCGAACGCGGAAAAGCCUGUAUAUGAUAAUGGUUAAGAUAGAAGAAGGGAUUGGAAACUUCCGCCAUAGUGGGUGAUAGCCCCGUAUUUGAAAUCUUAACCAUGGUACUAAGUAUACGAGAAGUAGGGCGGGACACGUGAAAUCCUGUCUGAAUAUGGGGGGACCAUCCUCUAAGGCUAAAUACUCAUCAUCGACCGAUAGUGAACCAGUACCGUGAGGGAAAGGCGAAAAGAACCCCGGAAGGGGAGUGAAAUAGAACCUGAAACCUGAUGCAUACAUACAGUGGGAGCAUCUUUGUGGUGUGACUGCGUACCUUUUGUAUAAUGGGUCAACGACUUACAUUCAGUAGCGAGCUUAACCGAGUAGGGGAGGCGUAGGGAAACCGAGUCUUAAUAGGGCGACUAGUUGCUGGGUGUAGACCCGAAACCGAGUGAUCUAUCCAUGGCCAGGAUGAAGGUGCGGUAAAACGCAUUGGAGGUCCGAACCCACGCAUGUUGCAAAAUGCGGGGAUGAGCUGUGGAUAGGGGUGAAAGGCUAAACAAACUCGGAGAUAGCUGGUUCUCCCCGAAAACUAUUUAGGUAGUGCCUCGAGUAUGAGACUGAUGGGGGUAAAGCACUGUUAUGGCUAGGGGGUUAUUGCAACUUACCAACCCAUGGCAAACUAAGAAUACCAUCAAGUUGCUCCUCGGGAGACAGACAUCGGGUGCUAACGUCCGGUGUCAAGAGGGAAACAACCCAGACCGCCAGCUAAGGUCCCAAAUGAUAGAUUAAGUGGUAAACGAAGUGGGAAGGCACAGACAGCCAGGAUGUUGGCUUAGAAGCAGCCAUCAUUUAAAGAAAGCGUAAUAGCUCACUGGUCGAGUCUUCCUGCGCGGAAGAUGUAACGGGGCUCAAAUCUAUAACCGAAGCUGCGGAUAUACUUUUGUAUAUGGUAGGGGAGCGUUCUGUAGGCCUGUGAAGGUGACUUGUAAAGGUUGCUGGAGGUAUCAGAAGUGCGAAUGUUGACAUGAGUAGCGAUAAAGUGGGUGAAAAGCCCGCUCGCCGAAAGCCCAAGGUUUCCUACGCAACGUUCAUCGGCGUAGGGUGAGUCGGCCCCUAAGGCGAGGCAGAAAUGCGUAGUCGAUGGGAAACAGGUUAAUAUUCCUGUACUUUGAUUCAAUGCGAUGUGGGGACGGAGAAGGUUAGGUUAGCAAACUGUUGGAAUAGUUUGUUUAAGCCAGUAGGUGGAAAGAGUAGGCAAAUCCGCUCUUUCUUAACACCGAGACGUGAUGACGAGUGUCUACGGACAUGAAGUGACCAAUACCACGCUUCCAGGAAAAGCCACUAAGCUUCAGUUGAAUCAGAACCGUACCGCAAACCGACACAGGUGGGCAGGAUGAGAAUUCUAAGGCGCUUGAGAGAACUCGGGAGAAGGAACUCGGCAAAUUGAUACCGUAACUUCGGGAGAAGGUAUGCCCUCUAAUGUUAAGGACUUGCUCCGUAAGCAUCUGAGGGUCGCAGAGAAUCGGUGGCUGCGACUGUUUAUUAAAAACACAGCACUCUGCUAACACGAAAGUGGACGUAUAGGGUGUGACGCCUGCCCGGUGCUGGAAGGUUAAUUGAAGAUGUGCAAGCAUCGGAUCGAAGCCCCAGUAAACGGCGGCCGUAACUAUAACGGUCCUAAGGUAGCGAAAUUCCUUGUCGGGUAAGUUCCGACCCGCACGAAUGGCGUAACGAUGGCCACACUGUCUCCUCCCGAGACUCAGCGAAGUUGAAAUGGUUGUGAAGAUGCAAUCUCCCCGCUGCUAGACGGAAAGACCCCGUGAACCUUUACUGUAGCUUUGCAUUGGACUUUGAAGUCACUUGUGUAGGAUAGGUGGGAGGCUUUGAAGCAGAGACGCCAGUCUCUGUGGAGCCGUCCUUGAAAUACCACCCUGGUGACUUUGAGGUUCUAACCCAGACCCGUUAUCCGGGUCGGGGACCGUGCAUGGUAGGCAGUUUGACUGGGGCGGUCUCCUCCCAAAGAGUAACGGAGGAGUUCGAAGGUUACCUAGGUCCGGUCGGAAAUCGGACUGAUAGUGCAAUGGCAAAAGGUAGCUUAACUGCGAGACCGACAAGUCGAGCAGGUGCGAAAGCAGGACAUAGUGAUCCGGUGGUUCUGAAUGGAAGGGCCAUCGCUCAACGGAUAAAAGGUACUCCGGGGAUAACAGGCUGAUUCCGCCCAAGAGUCCAUAUCGACGGCGGAGUUUGGCACCUCGAUGUCGGCUCAUCACAUCCUGGGGCUGUAGUCGGUCCCAAGGGUAUGGCUGUUCGCCAUUUAAAGUGGUACGUGAGCUGGGUUUAAAACGUCGUGAGACAGUUUGGUCCCUAUCUGCAGUGGGCGUUGGAAGUUUGACGGGGGCUGCUCCUAGUACGAGAGGACCGGAGUGGACGAACCUCUGGUGUACCGGUUGUUUCGCCAGAAGCAUAGCCGGGUAGCUAAGUUCGGAAGAGAUAAGCGCUGAAAGCAUCUAAGCGCGAAACUCGCCCAAAGAUGAGACUUCCCUUGUGGUUUAACCAUACUAAAGAGUCGUUCGAGACCAGGACGUUGAUAGGUUGGGUGUGGAAGAGUGGUAACACUUGAAGCUAACCAAUACUAAUUGCUCGUGAGGCUUGACUCU
rnacentral:rRNA from 1 species